rnacentral:rRNA from 1 species
UACAGAGGGUGCAAGCGUUGUUCGGAAUUAUUGGGCGUAAAGCGCGUGUAGGCGGCUUUGCAAGUCGGGUGUGAAAGCCCUUAGCUCAACUGAGGAAGUGCGCCCGAAACUGCAGAGCUUGAGUACCGGAGAGGAUGGCGGAAUUCCCCAAGUAGAGGUGAAAUUCGUAGAUAUGGGGAGGAACACCGGUGGCGAAGGCGGCCACCUGGACGGUCACUGACGCUGAGACGCGAAAGCGUGGGUAGCAAACAGG